GAGUAAGUGGAAUCCUAUCAGAGUCUUUAUCAGACAGGCUGAUUAUACAAACGUUCACCUUCCCUACAUGACAAGAAGGAAACCCUCCAGAAAGGGAUAUUCCAGUACAAAGCGAUCAGGAGAGGAAUUUUUUAACCCUUUGUUUAGCUGCUGUCUACAGACAUUCACUUCCUGUAUAUAAUUGUGUACAGAGGAAGGCUUCAGCUCAAUGUUUAUAGGAAAUGUUUGUCUGAGAGAAAAAAAUCCUUCACAUAUGGAAACUUUUCCAACAUUCAUCAUAGAUUGAGAAUCGCAUACAAGUCGCCCAAGUACAGUCUUGACAGUUUCAUUGCAACUCUGAACAGCUAUGACCUUGAAUAAACUUAAUGACCUUGAGUGAACUUAGAUGUCAAAAUCUAUUGUUGUCUUUUUUGAAAAUUAACCACCAACAUAUUGAAUAUAUAAAACCCAAGUACUAUGGAGACAGGGCAUUAGAUGAAAAUGAAGAAGGACUGCAGGGGCAAAUGAAUGAGUUAAAUAUUACAGGAUAUUACGGGCCCGUUUUACAAAGAGUCAUAAAUCCUAGAAUUAUAGUCAUACAACCGUUUUACAAAGAUCUGGGAUUUCCAGGCAGGGCCUGGGAAGGGGAUACGCCAUGCGUGCAUAAUUUCAUAAAAUGGCGCAAUGUUUGUUAUUGGUGAUAUCAACAACUUUCCUCAUCUGUAAAUAAAAACUGAUGAGAAUUCCCGAACAAUAGUCAACAUGCCAACACAACCGGCAGAUGCAACAUAACUUUAUUUUCAAUGGUACAGGCCCCAAGGAAGGUUGAUUGUUAAGUGUUUUAUGGAGGUACGGUCAAUGUUCACGAAGUUACAGUUCAAGAUGCAGAUUCACAAGGAGUCCACAAGUUCCAAUAUAAAGAAAAAAGAUUGUUCCAUGGGUGGUUUAUGAUAAUGAAACACAGAACAUGUUUUGUACUUUUUGUAAAAAUACGUUUACACAAGGAUGUGCCACUUUCAAGAUAUCUUGUUAAUAAAUCCAUUAAGAAUC